rnacentral:rRNA from 1 species
GAUUGGAGUCUGCAACUCGACUCCAUGAAGUCGGAAUCGCUAGUAAUCGUGGAUCAGAAUGCCACGGUGAAUACGUUCCCGGGCCUUGUACACACCGCCCGUCACACCAUGGGAGUGGGCUGCAAAAGAAGUAGGUAGUUUAACCUUCGGGGGGACGCUUACCACUUUGUGGUUCAUGACUGGGGUGAAGUCGUAACAAGGUAGCGCUAGGGGAACCUGGCGCUGGAUCACCUCCUUAAACGAUGAU